rnacentral:misc_RNA from 1 species
CCAAUAGCGUAUAUUAAAGUUGUUGCAGUUAAAAAGCUCGUAGUUGAAUUUCGGGAUCAAUACGUCGGUCGUGCUUUCGGGUACGUACUGGCGUCAUUGGUUUCUCCUUUCUGACGAACCAUGAUGUCAUUAAUUUGGUGUUAUGGGGAGUUAGGACUGUUACUUUGAAAAAAUUAGAGUGUUUAAAGCAGGCAUUAGCUUGAAUACAUUAGCAUGGAAUAAUGAAAUAGGACGUUCGAUCCUAUUUUGUUGGUUUCUAGGAUCAACGUAAUGAUUAAUAGGGAUAGUUUGGGGCAUUAGUAUUCAAUUGUCAGAGGUGAAAUUCUUGGAUUUAUUGAAGACUAACUACUGCGAAAGCAUUUGCCAAGGAUGUUUUCAUUAAUCAAGAACGAAAGUUAGGGGAUCGAAGACGAUCAGAUACCGUCGUAGUCUUAACCAUAAACUAUGCCGACUAGGGAUCGGAUGAUGUUAAUUUUUUAAUGACUCAUUCGGCGCCUUACA